rnacentral:rRNA from 1 species
AACCAGCACCUCAAGUGGUCAGGAUGAUUAUUGGGCCUAAAGCAUCCGUAGCCGGCUCUGUAAGUUUUCGGUUAAAUCUGUACGCUUAACGUACAGGCUGCCGGGAAUACUGCAGAGCUAGGUAGUGGGAGAGGUAGACGGUACUCGGUAGGAAGGGGUAAAAUCCUUUGAUCUAUUGAUGACCACCUGUGGCGAAGGCGGUCUACCAGAACACGUACGACGGUGAGGGAUGAAAGCUGGGGGAGCAAACCGGAUUAGAUACCCGGGUAGUCCCAGCUGUAAACUAUGCAAACUCAGUGAUGCAUUGGCUUGUGGCCAAUGCAGUGCUGCAGGGAAGCCGUUAAGUUUGCCGCCUGGGAAGUACGUACGCAAGUAUGAAACUUAAAGGAAUUGGCGGGGGAGCACCACAAGGGGUGAAGCCUGCGGUUCAAUUGGAGUCAACGCCAGAAAUCUUACCCGGAGAGACAGCAGAAUGAAGGUCAAGCUGAAGACUUUACCAGACAAGCUGAGAGGUGGUGCAUGGCCGUCGCCAGCUCGCGCCGUGAGAUGUCCUGUUAAGUCAGGUAACGAGCGAGAUCCCUGCCUCUAGUUGCCACCAUUACUCUCAGGAGUAGUGGGGCGAAUUAGCGGGACCGCCGCAGUUAAUGCGGAGGAAGGAAGGGGCCACGGCAGGUCAGUAUGCCCCGAAACUCUGGGGCCACACGCGGGCUGCAAUGGUAACGACAAUGGGUUUCGAAUUCGAAAGGAUGAGGUAAUCCUCAAACGUUACCACAGUUAUGACUGAGGGCUGCAACUCGCCCUCACGAAUAUGGAAUCCCUAGUAACUGCGUGUCACUAUCGCGCGGUGAAUACGUCCCUGCUCCU